UUUACUGACGCUAAAGCUCGAAGGUGCGGGUAUCGAACAGGAUUAGAUACCCUGGUAGUCCGCACGGUAAACGAUGGAUGCCCGCUGUUUGCGAUAUACUGUGAGCGGCCAAGAGAAAUCGUUAAAGCAUCCCACCUGGGGAGUACGCCGGCAACGGUGAAACUCAAAGGAAUUGACGGGGGCCCGCACAAGCGGAGGAACAUGUGGUUUAAUUCGAUGAUACGCGAGGAACCUUACCCGGGCUUGAACUGCAGGAGAAGGAUGCAGAGAUGUUGACGCCCUUCGGGGCUCCUGUGGAGGUGCUGCAUGGUUGUCGUCAGCUCGUGCCGUGAGGUGUCGGCUUAAGUGCCAUAACGAGCGCAACCCUUUUCUUCAGUUGCCAUCAGGUGAUGCUGGGCACUCUGGAGACACUGCCACCGUAAGGUGUGAGGAAGGUGGGGAUGACGUCAAAUCAGCACGGCCCCUACGUCCGGGGCUACACACGUGUUACAAUGGGUGGUACAGAGAGUCGGUCGUCUGCAAAUGCGAUCCAAUCCUUAAAGCCAUCCUCAGUUCGGAUUGGGGUCUGCAACCCGACCCCAUGAAGCUGGAUUCGCUAGU
rnacentral:rRNA from 1 species